AAAUGAAUUGACGGGGGCCCGCACAAGCAGCGGAGCAUGUGGUUUAAUUCGAAGCAACGCGAAGAACCUUACCAGGGCUUGACAUCCACAGGAGGCGGUAGAGAUACUGCUGUGCCCCUUUAAGGGGAGCUGUGAGACAGGUGGUGCAUGGUUGUCGUCAGCUCGUGUCGUGAGAUGUUGGGUUAAGUCCCGCAACGAGCGCAACCCCUAUUGCUAGUUGCUAACAGGUAAAGCUGAGCACUCUAGCGAGACUGCCGGGGACAACUCGGAGGAAGGUGGGGAUGACGUCAAAUCAUCAUGCCCCUUAUGUCCUGGGCUACACACGUGCUACAAUGGCCGGUACAGAGGGCAGCUAAGGAGUAAUCCGGAGCCAAUCCCUGAAAAAGCCGGUCUCAGUUCGGAUUGUGGGCUGCAACCCGCCCACAUGAAGUCGGAGUUGCUAGUAAUCGCGGAUCAGCCAUGCCGCGGUGAAUGCGUUCCCGGGCCUUGCACACACCGCCCGU
rnacentral:rRNA from 1 species